rnacentral:lncRNA from 1 species
GGGGUAUAUGUCUAUUGCCAGUGCUGGGAAAAGUACUAGAGGGAAUCAUGGUGAAUCGUCUGAACGACACCAUACCGGAUGGCUGCAUAUGGCAGUUUGGAUUUCGAGAAGGACGCUGUGUAGAGGAUGCUUGGAGGCACGUCGUGAGCACGGUUUCAGCCAGCCGGGCGAAAUACGUGCACGGAAUCUUCGUGGAUUUUAAGGGAGCCUUCGACAACGUCAAGUGGA